UGAGUAACACGUAAACAAUCUACCCUUGAAUGGCGAAUAACCAAUCGAAAGGCUGGCUAAUACGCCGUACUCUCCCUUGAAGGCAUCUUCGAGGGAGGAGGGAUCCGCAAGGAUCGUUCUUGGAGGAGUUUGCGGCCCAUCAGCUAGUUGGCGGUGUAAUAGACCACCAAGGCUACGACGGGUACCCGGCCUGAAAGGGCGGACGGGCACGAUGGCACUGAGACACGGGCCAU
rnacentral:rRNA from 1 species